ACAGCCUUAGCUCAGUUGGUAGAGUGUCGGAGUAUAAAUCCGGAGGCCGAAGGUUCAAAUCCUGCCGGCGGCC
rnacentral:tRNA from 1 species